rnacentral:rRNA from 1 species
AGUGGGGAAUAUUGCACAAUGAGGGAAACCUUGAUGCAGCCAUGCCGCGUGUGUGAAGAAGGCCCGAGGGUUGUAAAGCACUUUCAAUUGUGAGGAAGAUUAAGUAGCUAAUAUCUGCUUAAUUUGACGUUAACUUUAGAAGAAGCACCGGCUAACUCUGUGCCAGCAGCCGCGGUAAUACAGAGGGUGCAAGCGUUAUUCGGAAUUACUGGGCGUAAAGCGCGCGUAGGCGGACUGUUAAGUCGGUUGUGAAAGCCCUGGGCUCAACCUAGGAACUGCAUCCGAUACUGGCAAUCUAGAGUUUAAGAGAGGGAAGUGGAAUUCCAGGUGUAGCAGUGAAAUGCGUAGAUAUCUGGAGGAACAUCAGUGGCGAAGGCGACUUCCUGGCUUAAAACUGACGCUGAGGUGCGAAAGCUUGGGUAGCGAACGGGAUUAGAUACCCCGGUAGUCCAAGCCGUAAACGAUGUCAACUAGCUGUUGGUCUUAUUAAAAAGAUUAGUAGCGUAGCUAACGCGAUAAGUUGACCGCCUGGGGAGUACGGUCGCAAGAUUAAAACUCAAAGGAAUUGACGGGGGCCCGCACAAGCGGUGGAGCAUGUGGUUUAAUUCGAUGCAACGCGAAGAACCUUACCAUCCCUUGACAUCCUGCGAACUUUCUAGAGAUAGAUUGGUGCCUUCGGGAACGCAGUGACAGGUGCUGCAUGGCUGUCGUCAGCUCGUGUCGUGAGAUGUUGGGUUAAGUCCCGCAACGAGCGCAACCCUUAUCAUUAGUUGCUAACAUUUAGUUGAGAACUCUAAUGAGACUGCCGGUGAUAAACCGGAGGAAGGCGGGGACGACGUCAAGUCAUCAUGGCCCUUAUGGGAUGGGCUACACACGUGCUACAAUGGGGGGUACAAAGAGCAGCCAACUGGCGACAGUGCGCGAAUCUCAUAAAACCUCUCGUAGUCCGGAUCGGAGUCUGCAACUCGACUCCGUGAAGUCGGAAUCGCUAGUAAUCGUGAAUGAGAAUGUCACGGUGAAUACGU